rnacentral:rRNA from 1 species
GAUGAACGCUAGCGGUAGGCUUAACACAUGCAAGUCGAGGGGUAACAGGCUGAAUUUAUUCGGUGCUGACGACCGGCGCACGGGUGCGUAACGCGUAUGCAACCUGCCUUAUACAGAGGGAUAGCCCCGAGAAAUUGGGAUUAACACCUCAUGGUAUUACUGAUUCGCAUGAAUUAGUAAUUAAAACUCCGGUGGUAUAAGAUGGGCAUGCGUAUGAUUAGCUAGAUGGAGAGGUAACGGCUCCCCAUGGCGACGAUCAUUAGGGGUCCUGAGAGGGUGAUCCCCCACACUGGUACUGAGACACGGACCAGACUCCUACGGGAGGCAGCAGUGAGGAAUAUUGGUCAAUGGACGCAAGUCUGAACCAGCCAUACCGCGUGAAGGAUGACUGCCCUAUGGGUUGUAAACUUCUUUUGUAUAGGAAGAAUAAAUGUUACGAGUAACAUGAUGACUGUACUAUACGAAUAAGCACCGGCUAACUCCG